rnacentral:rRNA from 1 species
GGACGAACGCUGGCGGCGUGCUUAACACAUGCAAGUCGAACGAUGAACCACUUCGGUGGGGAUUAGUGGCGAACGGGUGAGUAACACGUGGGCAAUCUGCCCUUCACUCUGGGACAAGCCCUGGAAACGGGGUCUAAUACCGGAUACGACUACUGAGGGCAUCCUUGNGUGGUGGAAAGCUCCGGCGGUGAAGGAUGAGCCCGCGGCCUAUCAGCUUGUUGGUGAGGUAACGGCUCACCAAGGCGACGACGGGUAGCCGGCCUGAGAGGGCGACCGGCCACACUGGGACUGAGACACGGCCCAGACUCCUACGGGAGGCAGC